CAGAUUUAUGUAAAUAUAUAUAUGUAUGUGUGUGUGUGUGUGUGUGUGUGUGUAUAUAUAUAUAUAUAUAUAUAUACACACAUAUAUGGAAUA
rnacentral:miRNA from 1 species